rnacentral:lncRNA from 1 species
UUACAACCACAUUUGGUACUCAUAAUCUAUCUUCAAUUGAAUCUGCAUCGCCGUUUCAACCAGCUCUUUAAGUUAGUACAUAAUGAUAUUCUUAUAUUUUUAAUAUUUAACAAUCCACCUAAUUAAUUAUGCUAGGAUCAUGACGUGACUCAAACUCAUGAACUUUUAUUUCGAUAUUAUGUUAAAUAAUGUGAAACAACUAUUUUCUUCGAAAACUUAAGGCGGUAUAGAAUAAUGAUUUUUCUAUUUUUAUAUUUACAAAACCUAGAUAGUGGUUAUUCUU